rnacentral:lncRNA from 1 species
AGAGUGACGUUUUCAACUAAUUAAAUAUUUUUUUUUAUAUUAAUCUAUCACAUUAUGAGUAUAAAAAAAUAUUAUAAUUUACUUAUUAUUGCUGAUAUGGUGCAAGUGUGACACAGUAUACUUUCUCCACUUCUAAGAAUGUCAACAAAUCUAUUUCCGGACAAAUUUUUAAAAAUUCGAAUCCGAAUCCGACCAUCAAAUUCGAAAUUCGAAUCCGAACCCGAAUCCGACGAAUUUUAAAAAUCCAUAUCCAAGCUCGAACCGGAUAAAAAAUUGAAAAUGCGAACCUAAUUCUGAACCCGAGCUUAAAAAUCCAAAUCCAAUUAAUUCUCUUUACAAUAAUUCAAAAUAUAUUACAUCAAAUUCAAAUUUUAAAGUAUAAAUUCAAAUACAACAUCAAAUAUCUAUUAUAUUAUAUAAUAUAAAAUAAUUUCAUGUUCGAAUUGGAUACAAUAAAAAAUUUAUAUUCGAAUCCAAAUCUGUCGGAUUUCUAUUUUUUAUAUUUAUAUUCAAAACUAUAUUUAUUUAACAUCAGAUAAAUUUAUUUUGUUUGGCUUCGAAUCCGAAUAAAAUUUCGAAUGUCUAUGUCCAUUCACAUACCUUUCCACUUCCAUGUACUUAUUGUCAUAUUCUUUCUGUUUCUCCGCCAACCUUU